GGCCCCGUAGCUCAGCUGGAUAGAGCGAGCGCCUUCUAAGCGCUAGGUCGCAGGUUCGAGCCCUGCCGGGGUCG
rnacentral:tRNA from 1 species